rnacentral:tRNA from 1 species
GCUGCUAUGGCUCAGUUGGUAGAGCACAUGCUUGGUAAGCAUGAGGUCAUCAGUUCGACUCUGAUUAGCAGCUCCA